AGGGCAUGCGGAAGCUGCUGGUGGACCACGCGGCCAUGCCAGAGGCCGAUAUCCAGGGCCACCGCGCUCCGUUCCUCC